rnacentral:rRNA from 1 species
UACGUAGGCAGCGAGCGUUGUUCGGAGUUACUGGGCGUAAAGCGUGCGUAGGCGGUGUCUUAAGUUUGUUGUGAAAUCUCCCGGCUUAACCGGGAGGGUGCGGCGAAUACUGAGAUGCUGGAGUGCCGGAGAGGUAAGCGGAAUUCCUGGUGUAGCGGUGAAAUGCGUAGAUAUCAGGAGGAACACCAGCGGUGUAGACGGCUUUCUGGACCAUGCUGACGCUGAGACACGAAAGCGUGGGUAGCAAACAGG